CGACUCGUCAAAUAGAAACUGAAGCGCAGUUUUCCAUCCGCUCCACUAGGCGGCGUAAUCGAGCUUCAGGUUCAUUCUGUCAGCAGCUUCAGAUGAUUGACAACAUGGUGCUUGAUAUUGAUAACAGUCAAAGCCACAACAUGUGCAGUUUGUUUUAAUAAGGCUACACAUUCAGCAGAUGACAGCUCAGUGACAGACUCAUAAUGUCACUUAACAGCACAUAUUUCCAACCCAUAAACAGAGAAAACAGACAAACGUUGUGAUAAAGAGCAGGAAUCAAAGAUGUCACACGACUGGGCCUAAGGAAUGUGUUUGGACCGUUACAUCCAGUCAACAGAAGCAGAGCUCUGGGCCGUUUGGACGGACAUUCACUGUAUGAUGGACAUCAGCGCAGGCACAGUCAAAAGCAUAACCCCUGCUGGACAUCGUGCGGGAGCCCAGGGGGGGACCCCAUGAUCCCCCACACCUUCUCACUCACACCACUGCAUUCAUUCCUAUCGCAGAGAUCUGGCUGGACUCGAACCAGCAACCUCUGAAACCAUGAGGCAGCGCUCUUACCUGUGAGCCACAGAUCUCUUGUUUGAACAUGUCAAGGAACUUAUAUUUCACUAUUCACCUGUAUGUGAGCUGGGAUUUUACAAUAAACCAGUUAAAUGACACAUCUAACACACUGAGCAAUGGGGUUUGAACCCAUGACUCUGCUACAACCUUGUCUCCCAGUAACAUGUGUGUCGCCACUACACCACCACGGCUUUCACAGUGAGAGCUGCCGUUUGAGCCAGUUUGUUGGAAAUAAUGCAAUACAUGGUCUUUAACAUAAGCAAUAGCAGGAUUUGAACCCAGGACUCCAGGAUCACGACACAACACUUUGUAUCUUGAGCCACUGAAACCUGCGAGUUGAUGGUGUGUUUGGACUGGUUUUAUUGAGAGCUAUGUGUUAUAUGAUGGAAAAAGGUAUUCAGAUGCGAGUUUAGAAACCAUGCUACUUUAGCUGCAAGUGACGUGUGUUUAACCACCAUCGUGGCCUUCACAAUAUCAUCUGUCGUUUGAUGCACUUUGUUGGAUAUACAAUUUAACAUAGGUAAUCUAAGAUUCAAAUGCAACCAUUUAUUUCUUGAGCCACUGAGUCCCAGAAGUUUUUAGCUCUUUUGGACUGAGUUUAUUGAGGGCUUUGUUUUCUGUGAUGAAAAUAUUAGCAAUUGUGGGAUUUGGACCAAGAACUGAAUGAAAGACAAACGAUUAGCCACUGAGCCACGGCAUUUGUGAUGUUCGAUUUGGUUCAGUUUGGUUGUUUUUUAGUUUAGCUACAGCAUUCAUUAAAACAACAAUUUAUUGUUCAGCUGCUAAAGCUGUUUUUAAUCAGGGUUUGAGCUAAACUCAGGAAAGUGGCUCAUCAAGAGCAGGAUUAGGUACUUUUAAAAAUCUCUUUCCUCUUCAUGCUGUUUUCAUAUAUUAAUGCAGAUACACUUAUUGUCCACAAGGUGGGGUACAUGAACACAUUAAUCUGGUCUCAUGCACAUGCCUGUUCUCCAUCCAUGAUUCUCCAAAUGCUAUGUAGAGAUGCUGGAGUCUG